rnacentral:rRNA from 1 species
UGAGGAAUAUUGGGCAAUGGACGAGAGUCUGAACCAGCCAUGCCGCGUGAAGGAUGAAGGCGUUCUGCGUUGUAAACUUCUUUUAUCUGGGACGAAACACUUCUUUUCUAAGAGGCCUGACGGUACCAGAUGAAUAAGCACCGGCUAACUCCGUGCCAGCAGCCGCGGUAAUACGGAGGGUGCAAGCGUUAUCCGGAUUUACUGGGUUUAAAGGGUGUGUAGGCGGAUUAUUAAGUCAGCGGUGAAAUCUCCAGGCUCAACCUGGAAACUGCCAUUGAUACUAUUAGUCUUGAAUAUUGUUGAGGUGGGCGGAACGGGUCAUGUAGCGGUGAAAUGCAUAGAUAUGACCCGGAACACAGAUUGCGAAGGCAGCCCGCUAAGCAAUGAUUGACGCUGAGGCACGAAAGCGUGGGGAUCAAACA